rnacentral:snRNA from 1 species
AGCUUUGUGCAGUGGCAGUAUCGUAGCCAAUGAGGCUUAUCCAAGGCGUGAUUAUUGCUAACUGAAAACAGAAAUUAUUUGUGUGACAAGUUAAAUAGCCUUCUAGAAC